UGGGGAAUAUUGGACAAUGGGCGAAAGCCUGAUCCAGCCAUGCCGCGUGUGUGAAGAAGGUCUUCGGAUUGUAAAGCACUUUAAGUUGGGAGGAAGGGCAGUAAGCGAAUACCUUGCUGUUUUGACGUUACCGACAGAAUAAGCACCGGCUAACUCUGUGCCAGCAGCCGCGGUAAUACAGAGGGUGCAAGCGUUAAUCGGAAUUACUGGGCGUAAAGCGCGCGUUGGUGGUUCGUUAAGUUGAAUGUGAAAGCCCCGGGCUCAACCUGGGAACUGCAUCCAAAACUGGCGAGCUAGAGUAGGGCAGAGGGUGGUGGAAUUUCCUGUGUAGCGGUGAAAUGCGUAGAUAUAGGAAGGAACACCAGUGGCGAAGGCGACCACCUGGGCUCAUACUGACACUGAGGUGCGAAAGCGUGGGGAGCAAACAGG
rnacentral:rRNA from 1 species